CAAUGAGUUACUUAUCUCAUUGAUUAUAUUGAAUAAAUUAUUUAUGUUGAAUGAAUAAUUAUAUUUGCAGAAACCAUUAAAAACUCAGAAAAAGAAAGGGAAUGGAACCGAGAGAUAAAAUAUUAAUCCUAAAAUACUUUCUAAGCAUCUUCAAUGGAAUUUUCUUGCUUUCACAGGUGAGAACCACUUGGUAGCAUGCAUUUCUUAUAUGUUGCUUGGCGCUGAAUCCAUUGUUGUUUUUAUUUCAUUCUUGGGAUUCCUAGGAAUCUUUGAAGAAAUCAGAUGGUUACUAAUUCUGUAUCUGGGACUCAUAGUCUUGCUGUUUGGUGUCCAAGUUGCAAUGCCAGUGCUAAUAUAUACAAGAAAAGAAGAGGUCCUCCUGUUCACAUUAGGUGUAUUGCUGUUCAAAAACAUCAAGAAGAAUAAAAUUUCACUAAAGGAAUAAAGAAAGAUUUUUGGUGUUGUUAUAUUGCAUGAAUUAUCUAAUAAUUCUUUAAUCUAGAGGUUCCCAAACUUUUCUUAUUGUGUACCCCCUUCCAGAUCUACCAGGUUCCCAUGUGCCUCUACCCUUCUCAUCACUGAUACUUUGUGUGUUCUUCUUAAUACUACCAGUCUUUAGCCAUCUGUCCAUAUUUCACUAUGUACAGAUAUAGUUAUAGUGUGACAUAUACAACCAAAAAACCCCUAAAUUCUGAGCUAAGUUAGACUGGACAGUUGCUGGGCAACUGAACCUGUGCUGUACGGUGAUUGGAGAUGAGGACAGGGCUGGAUUUACACCUUACUCACUCCUAGGCACAGCAUCUUCACUCCCCCCUCCCCUGACUACAUUUGACCUUUGUGUUGCACACAAUUUUAGAGAGAUAAGGCACCCCUAGAAUGCUAGCACCCUUAGGGACGUGCCCUACUAUGUCCAACCCUGGGUGAGGACUCUGUACAUCAGCACCUUUGUGUAUCUGUGUUCUCAUUGAUACAUCAUGAAGUAAAUUACCCAUGAAGUGAAUUAUAUAACAAAUUCCCACAGAGUUUUAAAGAUUUGUCUGGGUAGCCUAUUAUGAAAAUGUCAUAAAUAAAAUAAUUAAUAAAUAAAAUCCA
rnacentral:lncRNA from 1 species